AGUCAUAUGCUUGUCUCAAAGAUUAAGCCAUGCAUGUCUCAGUACAAGCCAAAUUAAGGUGAAACCGCGAAAGGCUCAUUAAAUCAGUUAUGGUUCCUUAGAUCGUACCCACACUUACUUGGAUAACUGUGGUAAUUCUAGAGCUAAUACAUGCAAAUAGAGCCCCGACCGGNNNNAGACGGGAGGGNGCGCNNNUUUUAUUAGAUCAAAACCAAUCGGCGGNCGGGUANNACACCGUCGUCGUAUCAUUUGGUGACUCUGAAUAACNUUGUUGCUGAUCGCACGGUCUCGCACCGGCGACGCAUCUUUCAAAUGUCUGCCUUAUCANACUGUCGAUGGUAGGUUCUGCGCCUACCAUGGUUGUAACGGGUAACGGGGAAUCAGGGUUCGAUUCCGGAGAGGGAGCCUGAGAAACGGCUACCACAUCCAAGGAAGGCAGCAGGCGCGCAAAUUACCCACUCCCGGCACGGGGAGGUAGUGACGAAAAAUAACGAUACGGGACUCAUCCNGAGGCCCCGUAAUCGGAAUGAGUACACUCUAAACCCUUUAACGAGGAUCCAUUGGAGGGCAAG
rnacentral:rRNA from 1 species